rnacentral:tRNA from 1 species
CCGACGCGUGGCAGAUCGGCGCGCUCGAGGGCCCUCACGCGGCCCCGGAGUUCUUCACGCCCGACGACGUGACCGCGUUCUACGCCGCGCGCUGGUCC